AGGCAGCCUUCUUGCCACGAUUUCUUAAUGGCAUGAAAGGUGUUAAACUGCUCGUACAUAAAAUUCUUUUGCUCUUCAGACUUGCAGAAAUUAAUUUGAAGCUGGUCUAGUAAGCUCAAGUACAUU
rfam:Phaseolus vulgaris cultivar G19833 chromosome 1, whole genome shotgun sequence.